rnacentral:rRNA from 1 species
UAGCCUUUCGAAAGAAAGAUUAAUACCCGAUGGCAUAGUUCUUCCGCAUGGUAGAACUAUUAAAGAAUUUCGGUCAUCGAUGGGGAUGCGUUCCAUUAGGUUGUUGGCGGGGUAACGGCCCACCAAGCCUUCGAUGGAUAGGGGUUCUGAGAGGAAGGUCCCCCACAUUGGAACUGAGACACGGUCCAAACUCCUACGGGAGGCAGCAGUGAGGAAUAUUGGUCAAUGGACGAGAGUCUGAACCAGCCAAGUAGCGUGAAGGAUGACUGCCCUAUGGGUUGUAAACUUCUUUUAUACGGGAAUAAAGUGAGGCACGUGUGCCUUUUUGUAUGUACCGUAUGAAUAAGGAUCGGCUAACUCCGUGCCAGCAGCCGCGGUAAUACGGAGGAUCCGAGCGUUAUCCGGAUUUAUUGGGUUUAAAGGGAGCGUAGGCGGACGCUUAAGUCAGUUGUGAAAGUUUGCGGCUCAACCGUAAAAUUGCAGUUGAUACUGGGUGUCUUGAGUACAGUAGAGGCAGGCGGAAUUCGUGGUGUAGCGGUGGAAUGCUUAGAUAUCACGAAGAACUCCGAUUGCGAAGGCAGCUUGCUGGACUGUAACUGACGCUGAUGCUCGAAAGUGUGGGUAUCAAACAGGAUUAGAUACCCUGGUAGUCCACACAGU